AUUGAACGCUGGCGGCAGGCCUAACACAUGCAAGUCGAACGGUAGCACAGAGAGCUUGCUCUCGGGUGACGAGUGGCGGACGGGUGAGUAACGUCUGGGAAACUACCUGAUGGAGGGGGAUAACUACUGGAAACGGUAGCUAAUACCGCAUAACGUCGCAAGACCAAAGAGGGGGACCUUCGGGCCUCUUGCCAUCAGAUGUACCCAGAUGGGAUUAGCUAGGAGGUGGGGUAACGGCUCACCUAGGCGACGAUCCCUAGCUGGUCUGAGAGGAUGACCAGCCACACUGGAACUGAGACACGGUCCAGACUCCUACGGGAGGCAGCAGUGGGGAAUAUUGCACAAUGGGCGCAAGCCUGAUGCAGCCAUGCCGCGUGUAUGAAGAAGGCCUUCGGGUUGUAAAGUACUUUCAGCGGGGAGGAAGGCGAUAAGGUUAAUAACCUUGUCGAUUGACGUUACCCGCAGAAGAAGCACCGGCUAACUCCGUGCCAGCCGCCGCGGUAA
rnacentral:rRNA from 1 species